UUUGCCUACGGGAGGCAGCAGUGAGGAAUAUUGGUCAAUGGACGCAAGUCUGAACCAGCCAAGUAGCGUGCAGGAUGACGGCCCUCCGGGUUGUAAAUUGCUUUUAGUUGGGAAUAAAAGGGGGCUCGUGAGCCCCGUAUUGUAUGUACCAUCAGAAAAAGGACCGGCUAAUUCCGUGCCAGCAGCCGCGGUAAUACGGAAGGUCCGGGCGUUAUCCGGAUUUAUUGGGUUUAAAGGGUGCGUAGGCGGAAUAUCAAGUCAGCGGUAAAAAUUCGGGGCUCAACCCCGUCGUGCCGUUGAAACUG
rnacentral:rRNA from 1 species